AGGGAGCCGGGUGCCACCACCCGGCGCGGGAUAAGUCGGCGAGUGCCCGCGCAUGCAAAACCCCGACUGCC
rnacentral:sRNA from 1 species